GCCCAGCCUUAACACAACAAUUAAAUAACCCAUUGUUCGCCAAAUAACUACGAGUUACAACUUAAAAUUUAAAAGACUUGACGGUACCCCACAACAACCUAGAGGAGCCUGUCUAAUAAACGAUACCCCACGAUUAACCCAACCCACCAUAGCCUACCAGUCUAUAUACCGCCGUCGCCAGCCUACCUCCUGAGAGAACAAAAGUAAGCUAAACAGUUUACCACUAACACGACAGGUCAAGGUGUAACUAAUGGGUGGGAAUAAGAUGGGCUACAUUUUCCACUCAGAACAUACGAAUUAAGCUUUGAAAAAACAACUGAAGGCGGAUUUAGCAGUAUAUUAAGGACAAAACACUUAAUUGAAACCAACGCAAUGGGGUGCGCACACACCGCCCGUCAUCCCUGCCACCAAAACAACACAUAUAUAAUAGCUACACAUACACUAACCAGGGCAAGUCGUAACAUGGUAAGCGUACUGGAAAGUGCGCUUAGAAACAAAAAGUAGCUUACAAAAGCAUUUGGCCUACAACCAAAAGACAUUAUAAUCUAAUCUUUUUGAGCCCAUAACAACACACAAACAUACACCAUAGAAAAACAAAACAUUUGACUAACUCAGUAGAUGAGAUCGAACAGUAAAUACAACCAGUACCGCAAGGGAGACAAAUAAGCAACGAACAGCAAAGAUUAACCCUUGUA
rnacentral:rRNA from 1 species